AUGAUGAUGGGCCCCAUUGUUAUAUGAACUCACCUGGAAGUGGUCAGCUGACAUUCAUAGAAGAUCAAAUCUGCACUAAGCAUUCUUUGAGUGAUGAUAUAACUGGGGUUUUGAAGUGAGCCCUUUCCUUCGCUUGAAAUUACCAUUAGAGUGCAUUGUAAACAGUAAUCUAUCGAAAUGGCGAUUCAUAAUACGAGUAGCCCUUUUAUUGGUUACGUCGAUUAAUUUGUGUAUGGAAUGGUAUAAACAUAUUGAAUGGACAUUGCAUAACGGCAUUUGUACGUGUGAACAUUAACAUUGAGGUGAUUGGACUAUAAUCUACGAAGAUGGAAAACAAGCGAGUGGAAAAACAUGAUCUAUGUCUUGUGGUGAAUGAUCAGGUCGAACGUACUGAAUGAAUUUUUCAUAUGA